AGAACUGGACGUGGGAUCACUCAGUUUGUCCAUCGAUGAAGAGCGCGGCUAUCCGUGUGAACUAAUGCAAAUUGUAGGACUCAGUGAACAUCGACACCUCAAAUGCACAUUGCAGCCCCAGGAUCUCAUUGUCCCGGGGUCCCGUCCAGUCA
rfam:Octopus bimaculoides Scaffold90349_contig_62, whole genome shotgun sequence.